GGACAUUUAGUUGCAACAGGUGUGAAAUAGUGAGGGAGGGGUAUCGAGAUGUAGUAGUAUUUUAAUUUUGUUGUAUGAAAAUAUUUGAUGUUUAGACUUCUCUUUUUGCAUUGUUCUGUAGCAUAUGAUAUUUGGAACAUGUUAUCUCUAUUUCUGGAAUAGGCCGGGUCAAGCCUAACAGCAUCAAGGAAGCAUAUGAAAGCUGGUGUUCCUGGGAAAUUGAAAAAUCCAUCUAAAAGGUUUGGGAAAUGGUAUCUGCUGCUAUAUUUUGGGGGCACUGGAAUGAACGGAAUUGUAGAUGUUUUGAUGAGAUUUUAACACCUACACAUGUACUCAAAGCAAAAUGCUUUAGUGAUUGAAUAGUUAUGUUGUGUAUAUGAGCAGGCAUUAUCUCCCUCUCUUGUAAUUUUUGCUUGCAUCUUCUGGAUGCCUUUAAUGAAUUACCCCUUACUUCAUGAAAAAAGUAUUGCAAGGUCAAAGCGAAAAUCCCCAAAAAACAUUCUUCUUUGUUGAUCUGAGUUGCUCAUCCUGAUGCUGUAGUUGUUUUGGAGGAGAUCAGCUGAAGAUCAGCUGAGUGCAAACUACAUCUUCUUGGCGCAUGGACAAAAAACAAAUUGCUUCAUUAUACUUAAUUAUUUGGGCUUAAAGACAUAGUUUCAUGAUGUUUAACCAUUUUCUUAAUUUUGUCCAAAUCUUGCAGACUCUACUGGAGAUAAAGAGAAGGAACUCUUUCAUACCAUGGUCUGCUGUGGCUGUAAAAAGUUAAACUCUAUGCAUGAAGUUGUCAUUUGCAUAAUGAUACACAUAGUAUUUCAGGGCAUGGAGAACUUAUUAACAAUGGUUUGUGAUUUCUACUUCACCUCUAUUUUUAUGUCUAUCUUCAUUUUAACUUCCUAUUUUCUGAAAUUCUGUGCAUGUUAAUGAGCAAUUGUUUGUAAUCAUCAAUUUAUAUGUGAAACUCUAGGAUGUCCUAUGGCUGUGAGUUAAAGAAAUGAAAUUUGGCUCUCAAUGAGUAUAAAGUGAAAUCUUAUUGUUGCCCUUUGGUUAUAUUUUGAUAAUUAGUACUGUUGGUUAUAAUGAGGAUUACUAUAAACUGGCAUGUCAAUGUUCAUUUAUCUUUUUCUCGAUACGCUCACUGCUGCCAUUGACAUUUAUCAAGUUAGGUGUCUAUGUUACAUAUCUAUUGCUUGAACCCCAAAAUUUUACAAAAAAAAAACCCUUAUUUGUUCGACCAUCUUUGUUAGCUGUUAUUUCUAUUUCAACUUGUGGUUUGACUCAAUAACAAGAAAAAGAAGCAUUAUUGGUGCCUUAUUUGUUGGAACAAAUGACUCACAAAUUAACGUGAACAAAGUUAGGAAGAAUAGGAAGUGGACAUAUGCUUAUUUGCAAUGUAUGUUCAACCUAAAAUCUUAUAUAUAUGUUAAGAGACUAAGUUAAUUUUAACAUCUGGAUUACAGUUUCAUUGGUAAUUUUAGGAUAAAGCUUCAUUCUGUAUGAUAAUAUUUUUGUUUUAAAAAGGGCCACUAAAAGCAAAAUCAGAAAAUAUAUGCAGUAGACAUCAAAGAGGUAGUAACAGCUUAAACUAAGUAAUAUUUUUUCUUGAAACUAAAACCAAUAUUGUUCUUGAAAAGUAUAUUCUAAAAUUUUCUAAUUUUAAAGUAAUAACAUCUUUGUUGUCUAUAUGCACUUUCUUUUUAAGGAGGAGGAGAUUUAACAGCCUGUUUAGGUUGCUGCUACCAUAAUUUUUUUUCUUUAUGCUUCGCCGGAGUGUUCAAUGCUGCCAGUAGGGAUGGUGGAAGUGGCGGUGGUUAGUAGGAUUGACAGCUUUAAAGAGGUGAUGAUGAUUUUGUCAAUGCUAUUUCGAUACCUUGUCAAGUUUCACAUGUCUAUUUUAGUGGAUGCUUUUAAGAAUAUAACAGUAGAAGUAUAUACCGGAUUGUUGCACCAGAUAAUCUUAUUUAAAGAAUUUCAAGGCAUUGAAGUACCACCUAGCUACCACUUAUGCUAAGAUCCAGAGGAGAACUAUCUUUGGAUUACACUCUAGCCCUUUUCCCAGACACUUGAUCUCUUAUGUUGUUGAUGAAGCAUUGAAGAUGAAAAUCCUUAGUGAAAUGUCUCUUUUGUUUUGUUUUUUUUCUUCUUUUCAAAUUAGUGCAGAGAUGAGGAUAGUUCAAUGAAAGAUAAGAUGACCAAGUUGAUGAUUAGUUGAAAGAUUCAGCAAAAAAAGGUAAAACCAGCUUCUGAAGAUUAACUGCAGCACAUCAAAGUAUCAACUCUUUCAUGUGAGAUAGAGAAUUGGUUUAUGUAAGUCAUGUCUUUAAACAUUUAGUGCAUCGUUCGAUUCGGAAUACUCCUAUAUUUUAGAUUAAGCUGAUGUAUUUUAUUGAUUUCCUAAAGAGAGUGGCAGGGCUCCUUGAGUAAAUGUGCAACGAGUAGAGUAAGAUUUUUUCUGGUACAAAAGUGGCAGUGCUGAGCCCACGGAGUAACAACUUAAUUCAAUGCCGUUGGUGUUUCUACAAUUACUCGUAUAUAUCUAGGAAAUGACUUUUAGGCGUGAAAUCGACAUGUAUACUGAUUGAAGAAUUAAUGCAGCAGCUUCAUUUAAGAUUCAACGAAGUCCAUAGGUAUACCAAACAUCUUUUGUUGAUUUGAUUGAUAAUUUGUACUCCUGUAUAUUAAUUUUUGAUUAUCUCAUUUUGUUAAAAAUGUCAUGUAAGAGUCACAAGUUAAGUUAAAAAUACGAUAUUGUGCGUACUUCUUUCACUUUGUAGACAUUUUUAUCUGUUGAACCAAGGAAGCAUGCAUAAAGAUGCAUCCUACUAUUUUACAGUAGUGUAAAACUGAGUGGAAACAAAUUAAUUAAC
rnacentral:lncRNA from 1 species